CCUUCGAUAGCUCAGUUGGUAGAGCGGAGGACUGUAGGUAGGAUGACGGCAAUCCUUAGGUCGCUGGUUCGACUCCGGCUCGAAGGA
rnacentral:tRNA from 1 species